rnacentral:lncRNA from 1 species
AGUCUAAUGAUGAUCUUUCACUGAUUAAUAGUCAGUUUCCAAAACACACAGUGCUAGGUGGAGUUAGGAAGGAUUCCAGGAGUAGAUUUAGCUAGUGGUGAAAGGCUGGGAGUAUGGAGUGAUUUCUGUACUUGGUUAUGCAGCAUUCCCUGCAGUGUUUGUUUUUUGCAUGACUCCAAAUACAUGAAGUGUAUUAAAUGCAGAUUUUUGGUAGAUCUGAGGUUUUGCCUUGGUAGCUGACAGGAGUCUCUCUACUUCAAUCUGCAUUUGCAACCUCUAUAAAAUUAGUAAAUUAAUAGACUCAUGUCAGAGAGGGCCUGUGCCCCUGUGAAUGUGUGCACAAUUGUCUAUUUGUAAGGUAGAUGACACUUUGCUCUAAGUAGACCUGCAGGCAAAGACAGAAUGGGGUCUUUCCUGAUUCUUUAGUUUGGAGAUGCAGAGAACCCCACGUUUCUCUAAGUGAAAUGGCAAAAAGUUACUUGUUAGAAUAUGGAACUUGUAACAAAUUGAUGUUUGCACCUUAAAUUUGCUUUCACAGACCUCCUGGCUGUAUUGGACAGGAAUAAAGAAAGUUGGAGACUACAAUUGCCUUGUCCAUUCCCUUGGUCAAAAAAGUAUCAGUUAAGCUCAUGAGGUUUUUUGUGUAUUAUCUCUCAAGUGUUGAGACGUUUGUGUAAUGUAAGUACCACACUCACGGAUGAGGAAGCAGGCACAGAUGAAGAAACUUGUUGAAGGUUAUGUGUACAUCUCAUGAGCAGCAGAGUCAGGAUUCAGACCCUCAACUAGAAAAAAGUCAUCUCUGACAGACAUUCAGGAUAAAAUACCAUCUGUCCAUGUAGCCAAUUACUAGCCAUUUUCAUUAUUGCUGAAGUCAUUCUAGGUUGUAGAUGGGUAAUUUUCUUUCUAAAAGUGGUGUCCUCUUCCAUAGGAAACAGAGAUGUCUUAGAGUGGUCAGGGGUAGUAGGCUGCUAUUUGAGCAGAGGUUGCAGAAUUUGAGAAAGCUAUAGCUGGGGUUCUUUGUCGGUGGCAAGUCUGCUGAGCCCUGAGCUAUGCUAGCAUCUCUGCCUCAUGCGCUUUAAUCUUUGAGUCAGUCCUGUGAGAUACAGGUGUAGCCCCAUUUUGUAGUUGAGAGUGAGGCUCAGAUGUGAAGCAACUGGCUGAGGUUAAACUUGAUAGUCUGUUUUUACUUAUUUUCUGGCCCUCUUCUUGUUGCCAAAUAAUUACGAUGAGUAGGGUGAGCUUGAACUUUUUGGAGGUUUUUUUUUUCCCUUCCUGGAAAAUACUGAUUUGACUGGCUCUGGACCAUGAAAGUAGCUGGGUCUAAAACCAAACCAGACAUCAAAACGUGGUAAGGACCAUUCACUAAGACAGCCAUAGUAGCAUGCUCAGUGCCAGCACUGUCUCCAGGCCCAUUCUUACGAUCUCAGGAAAAGUCACCAGAUGCUUGGGCUCUAAGUAAAAAAAAAAAAAAAA